CCUACGGGGGGCAGCAGUGGGGAAUAUUGGACAAUGGGCGAAAGCCUGAUCCAGCCAUGCCGCGUGUGUGAAGAAGGCCCUCGGGUUGUAAAGCUCUUUUGUCAGGGAAGAAAAGGUGGACUCUAACAUAGUCUGCUCAUGACGGUACCUGAAGAAUAAGCACCGGCUAACUACGUGCCAGCAGCCGCGGUAAU
rnacentral:rRNA from 1 species